UACAGAGGUCUCAAGCGUUGUUCGGAUUCAUUGGGCGUAAAGGGUGCGUAGGUGGCAUGGUAAGUCGGAUGUGAAAUCCCGGGGCCCAACCCCGGAACUGCAUUCGAUACUGCUGCGCUAGAGUACUGGAGAGGAGAUUGGAAUUUACGGUGUAGCAGUGAAAUGCGUAGAUAUCGUAAGGAAGACCAGUGGCGAAGGCGGAUCUCUGGACAGUUACUGACACUGAGGCACGAAGGCCAGGGGAGCAAACGGG
rnacentral:rRNA from 1 species